CCUUAGAGUUUGAUCCUUUCUCAGGAUGAACGCUAGCUACAGGCUUAACACAUGCAAGUCGAGGGGCAGCAUGGUCUUAGCUUGCUAAGGCCGAUGGCGACCGGCGCACGGGUGAGUAACACGUAUCCAACCUGCCGUCUACUCUUGGACAGCCUUCUGAAAGGAAGAUUAAUACAAGAUGGCAUCAUGAGUCCGCAUGUUCACAUGAUUAAAGGUAUUCCGGUAGACGAUGGGGAUGCGUUCCAUUAGAUAGUAGGCGGGGUAACGGCCCACCUAGUCUUCGAUGGAUAGGGGUUCUGAGAGGAAGGUCCCCCACAUUGGAACUGAGACACGGUCCAAACUCCUACGGGAGGCAGCAGUGAGGAAUAUUGGUCAAUGGGCGAGAGUCUGAACCAGCCAAGUAGCGUGAAGGAUGACUGCCCUAUGGGUUGUAAACUUCUUUUAUAAAGGAAUAAAGUCGGGUAUGCAUACCCGUUUGCAUGUACUUUAUGAAUAAGGAUCGGCUAACUCCGUGCCAGCAGCCGCGGUAAUACGGAGGAUCCGAGCGUUAUCCGGAUUUAUUGGGUUUAAAGGGAGCGUAGAUGGAUGUUUAAGUCAGUUGUGAAAGUUUGCGGCUCAACCGUAAAAUUGCAGUUGAUACUGGGUAUCUUGAGUGCAGUUGAGGCAGGCGGAAUUCGUGGUGUAGCGGUGAAAUGCUUAGAUAUCACGAAGAACUCCGAUUGCGAAGGCAGCCUGCUAAGUUGCAACUGACAUUGAGGCUCGAAAGUGUGGGUAUCAAACAGGAUUAGAUACCCUGGUAGUCCACACGGUAAACGAUGAAUACUCGCUGUUUGCGAUAUACAGCAAGCGGCCAAGCGAAAGCGUUAAGUAUUCCACCUGGGGAGUACGCCGGCAACGGUGAAACUCAAAGGAAUUGACGGGGGCCCGCACAAGCGGAGGAACAUGUGGUUUAAUUCGAUGAUACGCGAGGAACCUUACCCGGGCUUAAAUUGCAGAUGAAUUACGGUGAAAGCCGUAAGCCGCAAGGCAUCUGUGAAGGUGCUGCAUGGUUGUCGUCAGCUCGUGCCGUGAGGUGUCGGCUUAAGUACCAUAACGAGCGCAACCCUUGUUGUCAGUUACUAACAGGUUCUGCUGAGGACUCUGACAAGACUGCCAUCGUAAGAUGUGAGGAAGGUGGGGAUGACGUCAAAUCAGCACGGCCCUUACGUCCGGGGCUACACACGUGUUACAAUGGCAUGUACAGAAAGCUGGCCGUAUGCAAAUACGGUCGAAUCCCUAAAACAUGUCUCAGUUCGGACUGGGGUCUGCAACCCGACCCCACGAAGCUGGAUUCGCUAGUAAUCGCGCAUCAGCCAUGGCGCGGUGAAAACGUUCCCGGGCCUUGCACACACCGCCCGUCAA
rnacentral:rRNA from 1 species